AGGAAGACAGAGUAAGCAAAUUACCUGAUCAUUUGAUAUGUCACAUACUUUCUCCUCUUCCCAUAAAGGAGAUUAUUAAGACAAGCCUUUUAUCCACCAGAUGGAGAAGUCUCUGGCUUUCGGUUCCUUAUCUGGAUCUGAAUUCCCAAAAUUUCCCGCAUGAUUUUAAUGCCUUUGUGAGUUUUGGUGACAUGUUUUCUAGUUCCGGUCAGAUUUCAAAGGUCAAGAAAAUGUUCAUAAAUCCAGUCACUUUCAACGUCAUGCAUCACUAUUCCAAAGUAGAACCGCUGCCUCAAUUUGAUCACAUGUCUCACCUCGAACUUGUGCUCUGUGUAUCCGAUUUAAAAUGGUUGACAACUUUUCUUGACCACUUCCCGAAUCUGAAAUCCUUCGUAUUGGUAGUGGAAGACUACUUUAAGAAUACUCGUCUCGACGACUUGACUGAUGAUAUCAGUUAUUUUUCACCAGCUGUG